CAGAGUAGGACAUAUGCGAGACCUUUCGGGUCGCAGUGCCGACGGGACGGGGAGUUGCCUGUCGGACGAAGAGCGCGCGAGCGCCGCGGUAUAUGUUCCGCAUCCCGCUG
rnacentral:ncRNA from 1 species